AGCUACCUGUUAGAACAAUCUCUCCAAAGCUGAAGUCCUUGUUUGCUUGGGUAACAUUCAGCUUUAUUUCCAGAUCUUGAGUUUCUGUUGGAGCUAUGGUGAACCAAGUUGGAGAUACAUCAACUGUGACCCCAAUUGGUGGAAGCACUGCACACAGGUUCAAGUCUGCUGGAUGUGCGAGUGGAUGGUUGCACGAGCCACCUGUCAUAACUUCAACUUCUGUUUUGUUGAUAUUUGGCAAAGAGCACAGGAAAGCUACGUAUUCUCCUUCUCCUGAACACAAAUUUUGGGGAUCAUGAUCCCUGGCACAGGGAAAGGCACUGGUUCUGCAACGAAAUCACCAUAAGCAGGAUUGGCAGCCAGGAUGAAACCCAUGAAUCCCAACAUCUUUGCAGUGUUGAUAAUGGAAGUCAGAGAAGAAGUCUGGUUGUAAAAUCCAUCUGAGAAGUUGCAGAUCACUAUGCUGCCUGCCACUACUACGGGAUCAAGAGCUUCCGGAAACUGGCAUUCCUCUAUGUAAGGUGAUGUUCUUGGGAAUGAACCAUUAAUAUAUACAGCAUCUUUUGCCAACACCAGCUUAUAUUUCAGUAUCCCAUUUCCAAAGGUUGGCCCUGCAUUAUGAGAAAUGUCUUAUAUAAAACAGAGAAUUUGUAUGCAUGUCUUCAGUGAAAGUACCACAAGGAAUAAAUAAAAAGUCGAAUGAGCUAGACUUGAUAUCUCACACAAUAGGUGAAGGUAGUAAUGUCCUUGUUUUUCGUUCCCCUUGUCCUUUGGUAAGGGAAAAAAGGGUAUAUGUAUGAAUAAUGUGAAGUAGGGGUGUGCAAAAACCGGUCCGGACCGGAAAAAUGGACCAAACCGACCACGGACCGGACCGGAGACAAUAGGUCUUGUCUUUGGGUCGAGAAAUAGUAAUUUCCACUAUUCGGUCUGGUCCGGGCCAAAACCCUUUAAAACCCGGUUUUGGACCGGACCGGCUUUUACUAAAAGAAGUAUAGUACUCCGUAUAAACUACUAAAAAAGUUAAUUUGCUCCUUUAUUUUGUUGUAAAUAUUACUGUACUGUGAGAUAUUUUCAAACAUUAGUUUCUUACAUAUAUUUUUCCGUGUUUACUGUAUUUUGUAGAAAAAAUAAAAAAUAUAUAUAAAUAGGACUACAACCGGUCCGGUCCGGCCGUCCGGGUUUUGGACCGAUGAACACCCCUCAGUAUCAUGUUAGAGAUCUCACUUAUUAGCUGUUUAUCAUAUUUCUUUUCAAAUAUGUACAAGCAGAAUCUGUGGUACAUCUUGUUGCAGAUAUUCAAUCUUCAAUCUUCAAUGACAGUAAAUUUCAUGUUUUAUAAAGGAUUCAGACUUGCCUGAUAACCCAACUCCUGCAAUCUUUUGACCAUUUCCGAGAAAGAGAGUAGCAGGGUAACUUCUGUCCGUGCUGCAAGCAGCGACUCCAACAGACCAAGGACUGAAGGAUACCACGGAGCUCGGGUCGGGCCCUUUGUUCCCUGCUGCUUGUACCACAAAAACCCCUGCUCUUCUUGCCAGUAGUGUGAAGAUUUCAAAUACAUCGAGGAAAGUUAUCGUGUCUUCUCCUGGUUCGUCUGGUUCUACCGACAAGUUCAGGAUGUCAACUCCAUCUUUCACUGCCUGAAAAAUAAUCAAAGUUUGUAAGACUCAUAUAUAGUAUUAUACAGUGAGGUUCACUAUGUAUACUUUCUGCAACGUCAGAUAAGUGCUUUACUUGAUCAA